rnacentral:rRNA from 1 species
UACGAAGGUGGCAAGCGUUACUCGGAAUUACUAGGCGUAAAGGGCAGGUAGGUGGUUUGAUAAGUCUGUUGUGAAAGCUCCUGGCUCAACUGGGAGAGGCCAACGGAAACUAUCAGGCUGGAGUAUGGGAGAGGGUUCUGGAAUUCCCGGUGUAGCGGUGAAAUGCGCAGAGAUCGGGAGGAACACCAAUGGCGAAAGCAGGAGCCUGGACCAUUACUGACACUAAGCUGCGAAAGCUAGGGGAGCAAACAGG